rnacentral:rRNA from 1 species
UACGAAGGGGGCUAGCGUUGCUCGGAAUCACUGGGCGUAAAGGGCGCGUAGGCGGCCAUUCAAGUCGGGGGUGAAAGCCUGUGGCUCAACCACAGAAUUGCCUUCGAUACUGUUUGGCUUGAGUUUGGUAGAGGUUGGUGGAACUGCGAGUGUAGAGGUGAAAUUCGUAGAUAUUCGCAAGAACACCAGUGGCGAAGGCGGCUCACUGGCCCGAUACUGACGCUGAGGUGCGAAAGCGUGGGGAGCAAACAGG